rnacentral:rRNA from 1 species
UGUCGUCUUCANNNNNNNNNNNNNNNNNNNNNNNNNNNNNNNNNNNNNNNNNNACGUGGUAGCCUGCGAAAAGCUUCGGGGAGUCGGCAAACAGACUUUGAUCCGGAGAUGUCUGAAUGGGGGAACCCAGCCAUCAUAAGAUGGUUACCUUACACUGAAUACAUAGGUGUAUGGAGCGAACCAGGGGAACUGAAACAUCUAAGUACCCUGAGGAAAAGAAAUCAACCGAGAUUCCCUUAGUAGUGGCGAGCGAACGGGGACUAGCCCUUAAGUGGCUUUGAGAUUAGCGGAACGCUCUGGAAAGUGCGGCCAUAGUGGGUGAUAGCCCUGUACGCGAAAAUCUCUUAGUCAUGAAAUCGAGUAGGACGGAGCACGAGAAACUUUGUCUGAAUAUGGGGGGACCAUCCUCCAAGGCUAAAUACUACUGACUGACCGAUAGUGAACUAGUACCGUGAGGGAAAGGCGAAAAGAACCCCGGAGAGGGGAGUGAAAUAGAUCCUGAAACCGUAUGCGUACAAGCAGUGGGAGCAGACUUUGUUCUGUGACUGCGUACCUUUUGUAUAAUGGGUCAGCGACUUAUUUUCAGUGGCGAGCUUAACCGAAUAGGGGAGGCGUAGCGAAAGCGAGUCUUAAUAGGGCGUCUAGUCGCUGGGAAUAGACCCGAAACCGGGCGAUCUAUCCAUGGGCAGGUUGAAGGUUGGGUAACACUAACUGGAGGACCGAACCGACUACCGUUGAAAAGUUAGCGGAUGACCUGUGGAUCGGAGUGAAAGGCUAAUCAAGCUCGGAGAUAGCUGGUUCUCCUCGAAAGCUAUUUAGGUAGCGCCUCAUGUAUCACUGUAGGGGGUAGAGCACUGUUUCGGCUAGGGGGUCAUCCCGACUUACCAAACCGAUGCAAACUCCGAAUACCUACAAGUGCCGAGCAUGGGAGACACACGGCGGGUGCUAACGUCCGUCGUGAAAAGGGAAACAACCCAGACCGUCAGCUAAGGUCCCAAAGUUAUGGUUAAGUGGGAAACGAUGUGGGAAGGCUUAGACAGCUAGGAGGUUGGCUUAGAAGCAGCCACCCUUUAAAGAAAGCGUAAUAGCUCACUAGUCGAGUCGGCCUGCGCGGAAGAUGUAACGGGGCUCAAACCAUACACCGAAGCUACGGGUAUCACGUAAGUGAUGCGGUAGAGGAGCGUUCUGUAAGCCUGUGAAGGUGAGUUGAGAAGCUUGCUGGAGGUAUCAGAAGUGCGAAUGCUGACAUGAGUAACGAUAAUGGGUGUGAAAAACACCCACGCCGAAAGACCAAGGUUUCCUGCGCAACGUUAAUCGACGCAGGGUUAGUCGGUCCCUAAGGCGAGGCUGAAAAGCGUAGUCGAUGGAAAACAGGUUAAUAUUCCUGUACUUCUGGUUAUUGCGAUGGAGGGACGGAGAAGGCUAGGCCAGCUUGGCGUUGGUUGUCCAAGUUUAAGGUGGUAGGCUGGAAUCUUAGGUAAAUCCGGGAUUCUAAGGCCGAGAGCUGAUGACGAGUUAUCUUUUAGAUGACGAAGUGGUUGAUGCCAUGCUUCCAAGAAAAGCUUCUAAGCUUCAGGUAACCAGGAACCGUACCCCAAACCGACACAGGUGGUUGGGUAGAGAAUACCAAGGCGCUUGAGAGAACUCGGGUGAAGGAACUAGGCAAAAUGGCACCGUAACUUCGGGAGAAGGUGCGCCGGUGAGGGUGAAGGACUUGCUCCGUAAGCUCAUGCCGGUCGAAGAUACCAGGCCGCUGCGACUGUUUAUUAAAAACACAGCACUCUGCAAACACGAAAGUGGACGUAUAGGGUGUGACGCCUGCCCGGUGCCGGAAGGUUAAUUGAUGGGGUUAGCUAACGCGAAGCUCUUGAUCGAAGCCCCGGUAAACGGCGGCCGUAACUAUAACGGUCCUAAGGUAGCGAAAUUCCUUGUCGGGUAAGUUCCGACCUGCACGAAUGGCGUAACGAUGGCGGCGCUGUCUCCACCCGAGACUCAGUGAAAUUGAAAUCGCUGUGAAGAUGCAGUGUAUCCGCGGCUAGACGGAAAGACCCCGUGAACCUUUACUAUAGCUUUGCACUGGACUUUGAAUUUGCUUGUGUAGGAUAGGUGGGAGGCUUUGAAGCGUGGACGCCAGUUCGCGUGGAGCCAACCUUGAAAUACCACCCUGGCAACUUUGAGGUUCUAACUCAGGUCCGUUAUCCGGAUCGAGGACAGUGUAUGGUGGGUAGUUUGACUGGGGCGGUCUCCUCCUAAAGAGUAACGGAGGAGUACGAAGGUGCGCUCAGACCGGUCGGAAAUCGGUCGUAGAGUAUAAAGGCAAAAGCGCGCUUGACUGCGAGACAGACACGUCGAGCAGGUACGAAAGUAGGUCUUAGUGAUCCGGUGGUUCUGUAUGGAAGGGCCAUCGCUCAACGGAUAAAAGGUACUCCGGGGAUAACAGGCUGAUACCGCCCAAGAGUUCAUAUCGACGGCGGUGUUUGGCACCUCGAUGUCGGCUCAUCACAUCCUGGGGCUGAAGCCGGUCCCAAGGGUAUGGCUGUUCGCCAUUUAAAGUGGUACGCGAGCUGGGUUUAGAACGUCGUGAGACAGUUCGGUCCCUAUCUGCCGUGGACGUUUGAGAUUUGAGAGGGGCUGCUCCUAGUACGAGAGGACCGGAGUGGACGAACCUCUGGUGUUCCGGUUGUCACGCCAGUGGCAUUGCCGGGUAGCUAUGUUCGGAAUAGAUAACCGCUGAAAGCAUCUAAGCGGGAAACUAGCCUCAAGAUGAGAUCUCACUGGAACCUUGAGUUCCCUGAAGGGCCGUCGAAGACUACGACGUUGAUAGGUUGGGUGUGUAAGCGCUGUGAGGCGUUGAGCUAACCAAUACUAAUUGCCCGUGAGGCUUGACCAU